UGCAAGUCGAGCGAUAUUUACCUUCGGGUAUUGAAAGCGGCGAACGGGUGAGUAACACGUGAACAACCUGCCCUCACAUUCCGGAUAAUAGACCGAAAGGUCUUGUAAUACGGGCGAGGAUUCUUCUUAGGCAUCUUUGAAGAAGGGAAGGCGCAAGCCGUGCGAGGAGGGGUUCGCGGAUUAUCAGGUAGUUGGUGGGGUAACGGCCUACCAAGCCUACGACGAUUAGCUGGUCUGAGAGGAUGGUCAGCCACACUGGGACUGAGACACUGCCCAGACUCCUACGGGAGGCUGCAGUCGAGAAUCUUGCACAAUGCACGAAAGUGUGAUGCAGCGACGCCGCGUGAAGGAUGAAGGCCCUUGGGUCGUAAACUUCUUUUAUCGGGGAAGAAUAAAUGACGGUACCCGAUGAAUAAGCCACGGCUAACUACGUGCCAGCAGCCGCGGUAAUACGUAGGUGGCAAGCGUUGUCCGGAUUUACUGGGCGUAAAGAGUAUGUAGGCGGACAUUUAAGUAGAAAGUGAAAGGUUGGAGCUCAACUCCGACACUGCUUCCUAUACUGGGUGUCUUGAGUGCCGGAGAGGAAAGCGGAACGACACGUGUAGCGGUGAAAUGCGUUGAUAUGUGUCGGAACACCAAUGGCGAAGGCAGCUUUCUGGACGGAGCCGCAAGGCUUAAAACUGACGCUGAGAUACGAAAGCCGAGGGAGCGAACAGGAUUAGAUACCCUGGUAGUCUCGGCCCUAAACGAUGUUCACUAGGUGUCGGGGGGUAACCUCCGGUGCCGCAGCUAACGCAUUAAGUGAACCGCCUGGGGACUACGGCCGCAAGGUUGAAACUCAAAGGAAUUGGCGGGGGACCGCACAAGCGGUGGAGCAUGUGGCUUAAUUCGAUGCAACGCGAAGAACCUUACCAGGGCUUGACAUGUA
rnacentral:rRNA from 1 species